CCAUAUUUAUAUUCUUCCAGAUUAAAGCUAGAGACAUCUUCUCAUUGGCCAAAAGAUGCAUCUUGUUCUUCAAGAAUUCUUGGAGAAAAUGGGCAAUUACCCUUUUUUGGGAAAUUAAACAUACGUUUGCCCUCUUUCUGAAACUAAACAGGGAACUGCCCCUGUUUUGUAACUCGACAAUAGAGAAAUCGAGUUUUAAUGAAUAACUCAAUAUUUGGAUAGUCGAGUUAGUCUGACACUUCGAAUUUUUCCCAAUAAAAAAAUGUUUGUGUAGACGGUCAUAACUCGGGAAACUGGAAAUCGAGUUCUUUUCAGCGGUUUGAAUCAAUAGGACCCUAACGUCUCACAACGCUAUUCAGUCACUCGCUCUCCCUGUACACUCUCUUUCCCUCGCUCUCUGCCAUCACUCUCUCUCCACACUCUGUCUCUCUCGCUCUGUGAUCAGGCUUCCCCACUCUUCCUCGAGUCUCCAUCAGUCGUCGUUGGUUCCCGCCGCCGCUGAUUACAGAUAUGCAGGCACUAGAUAGAGUGCGGCCUGGACCCGAUGUGGAUACCCAGUUGUCCCAGCAGCCGAAUCAUCGGUCAAGUCCGCUUUGGAGGUGCGCCGCUGACGAGGAGGCGCCUGGCAUGAUAAAGGUUCGACGCCG